rnacentral:lncRNA from 1 species
UUUAUAGAUUUGGUGCUAUUGAGGCUCAGAAGGAUGAAUUGCCCAUCCAGAAUCUUAAGAAAUAGAAUGAGAUUUGAAUCCAGAUCAAUUUUGAAUCUUCAUUUCCAGCUGCUGCUUCUUCUCCCUCCUCCCCUGGUUUCCCAGUUCUUAAUUCUUGUUCACAAUCUCAUUCCUACCCUCUUCCCUCUACCAUUCCCUCUUUAGGCUUUUGGAAACUUUGAUUCAAGAAAUAGAGCGGUUGGUAAUAAUCUCUGAUGAUCAGUCCGAGCUUGGCAUUUUCAUUUCACCUCAAUGUGCCCAGGUGAAAUGAUGUUAAUGGGAAGGAAAAGGGGAAAAUUAUGAUUUCAAGAACAGUCAUGAUGAGAACAGACAUAUGCCAGCGAACAAAAUCCUGUGCCUUUUGUGAGCCUGACAGCUGCCUUCAGUCCUGCUGGUCUGACCCCUGUAGUGACAUCAGGAAGAGUCCAGAAAGCAUCAGCAUUCCACUCCCACUUUCCCAGUGCAGCCAGGAAAAGGCCUAGUCACCAAGGAGGGCCUGCUUCCAGUUCUGUUUUUCCCAAGUCACUCACUGACAGGAGCUGAGGCCCAUAAUCAGAGGAAGCAAAAACGCUUCUCCCCUUAUUGCCAAGGGAAUCGCCAGGGGAUGCAGAGUGGCUCCAGGAGGAAAAUUAUGCUGAGCUGAGGCUUAGCCAUGGAGGAAGGCCCAAGGGCAUCAUCUAUGAACGUGUACGGGGUCACCUAGGCUUUUACAUGUGUACGAUGCUCGGUGUUUUGUUGUUGGGGGAUUUUAUAAUUACCCAAAUUACCUUGCUUCAACCUAUUUAGCAAUUCAUUUAAAGGAACUCUCCUAAUACGUGAAAGACCAGAAAAGACAGCUGAUUAGAAAUUCCAAUGGCCGGGUAUGGUGGCUCACACCUGUAAUCCCAGCACAUUGGGAGGCCAAGGAGGGAGAAUCACUUGAGGUCUGGAGUUCAAGUCCAGCCUGGCCAACAUGGUGAAACCCUGUCUCUACUAAAAAUACAAAAACAUUAACUGGGGGUGUUGGUGCAUGCCUGUAGGCCCAGCUACUUGGGAGGCGGAGGUGGGAGAAUUUCUUGAACCUGGAAAGCAGAGGCUGUAGUGAGCUGAGAUGGCACCACUGCACUCCAGCCUUCCAGCCUGGGUGACAGAGCAAGACUCCAUCUCAAAAAAAAAAAAAAAAAAAGAAAGAAAAGAAAAGAAAGAGAGAGAAAAGAAAAAUCUAAUAGGGGACACAGGAAUUUUCUUUUAUUUGCCUAAGAACAAAAGACAAGGAAACAUUAUAAUAAUCAAAAUAAUCCCAGAAAAGGUAGUGGAAAAAUGGACUGGACCAAGAUGAUAUUGAAGGACCUUCCCAAUAACUGAACUGCAUUCAAGGUACUUAGUCUCUUGAAUGUGAGCCAGUGGCCCCUCCAUGGUAAAUAUAAAGUUUGGGGGUCUGUGAAUCCACAGAUGCUCCAGAUUACAUAUGGGGAAAGAGAGAGUCGCUUAGUAAGGCAACAAAGGUGAAUAAUUGUUCAAAAUAUCUAGUGGCAUCUUCAGUCAUGGUCGUUUGGCAUGGAGGCAAGCGGAGUGGGAUUUUCAAUCUCUUUCCUCUCUUCUAAAUGGAAAUUAAGCUAACAGUAUUCAAGGGAAGAAAUGUUCACAGACUCUGAGGACCUAACGUGGCAAAAGUUAGACUCAGAAUUUCCCACAGCCAAGUUUGUGGUAGUGGAAGCUUCUGGUAAAGUAGGCCUUGGGUUUUACAAAGUCAGGUACCCCUUACUAGAGGAAAGCAACAUUGGGAAUUAUCCAGAUCAUCCAGAAGACAAAGGCAAAACUAUGUGGUUGUCACAUCACUGCUGAUGACCUUUAAUGAAUUCUCCAAUUUACCUACCUGGGAGAGGCUUUGCAUGGAUUAGUCAAGCCACACAAUCACUACCUAACCCUCCCUGAUGGAAGGAACUGAGCCUCCCUUUAAAUGAGUGUGAAUUUCUGAAGGGCAAGGCCUGGGUCACUUGCCUUCAGCACACGGCCCAUGCUCAGAGUCUGUUAGCUGAAAGGAAAAAGGGAAGUGGAGGCUGCCAGGAAUACUCAACCUCCCCCACUCUUCCUCUUGCCACCUUACUUUCAUCUUGCUCCCUACUCACAGAUGACUCCGGGGCCUUGUUCCUCAAAACCAUAUUACCUACCAUUGGGAUUUGGUUUGUGUCACAAUUUUUCAGAUAAUCAUAUCCAAGAGACCUCCAAAGUAAAAGGUUAGUGGCAAACACAGAUGUGGAAUAAAUUGU